GAUGAACGCUGGCGGCGUGCUUAACACAUGCAAGUCGAACGGAAAGGCCCAAGCUUGCUUGGGUACUCGAGUGGCGAACGGGUGAGUAACACGUGGGUGAUCUGCCCUGCACUUCGGGAUAAGCCUGGGAAACUGGGUCUAAUACCGGAUAGGACCACAUUUUGGAUGGUGUGGUGGAAAGUUUUUCGGUGUGGGAUGAGCUCGCGGCCUAUCAGCUUGUUGGUGGGGUAAUGGCCUACCAAGGCGUCGACGGGUAGCCGGCCUGAGAGGGUGUACGGCCACAGUGGGACUGAGAUACGGCCCAGACUCCUACGGGAGGCAGCAGUGGGGAAUAUUGCACAAUGGGCGCAAGCCUGAUGCAGCGACGCGGCGUGGGGGAUGACGGCCUUCGGGUUGUAAACUCCUUUCGCUAGGGACGAAGCGUUAUGUGACGGUACCUGGAGAAGAAGCACCGGCUAACUACGUG
rnacentral:rRNA from 1 species